rnacentral:lncRNA from 1 species
CAAUGUAUCAACAAAAUAUAAGUUAUAAUAAACGUCGUCACUUCUUCACGAGGUACUAGAUGUGGUAUUGAAUCCCGUACCUCAUUGCCAUUAAUCGUUGCGUUUGGUGUCAAGAUUUGGUUUGUUGAUUUGAUGUUAUCCCCAUGAUUAAAAAAAAAUACAAAUAUUUACACAUACAUUGCUUCUGCACACUACGGCGCAGUGUGGUUAUGCAGACUGUGGGUCCUACACUCACAACUUCGUCUCAUGCUCGGUUAAUCUCCCAUCGGUGUUAUGAUCGCGGUAACUCCAACUCUGAAGUCUACUUUGCCGCUUCAUGCCUUGUGUAUAUGCAUUUUAUGUUUAUCCCACAAGUCUCAUCCUCUACCUUAAUCGGAUUGAGGAGUCUACUCUUCCGUAGAAUAUCACAUGUGGUGUUUUGUUAUUUAAUGUUUGUGUAAAUGUUGUUGCUCCUUUUUCUUUUAACGUUGUGUUUUUGCCAACCUCUUGCUAGUUUUAAUCGAAAAAAUGAUUUAAAACUGCAACCAAUAAUCCAUAAUUUGUUCCUUAAGUCGCUAAACUAUUAAUUAUAUCUAAUAAACUAACCAACUUUUUAUUUUGGUUUUAAAAUAUCAUCCAUUACGAUUUUUAUCUAGAAAAAUGUCAACGAACACCGUCGUUGCCCUUGUCACGUCUAAUUAAUUGUCUAUCGUAAUGACAAUGUCACAAAACAAUAAUAUGACGUUACUAAUAGUUAUCAGUUGUGGUUUGAAAAAAACAAUUACUAGAAGCUUUUAGUUGGAUGUGACAAACGCAAUGACGGUGUCCGUUGUCAUUUUAAUCGAUAAAAAUCAUACUCGUUUGUAUUUUAAAACCAAAAUAAAAAGUUGGUUUCAUUAUUUGAUACAAAUAAGGACAUGUUCAGCACAAAGUGUUUUGGAGCAUUUGAAAGCUUUUAACUUCUAACGUUUGACAAAACGUUCUGUUUUGAACAAGAAACUUUAUUUGGCAUUACGAGCUUCUGGCGUUUAGUUUAAGCAAAACGUUCCAAAUUCAAAUGCUACUUCAUGUAGCAUUUAACAAAACACUACAAACUACAAACUACCCGCUACCCGUUAUAAGCUACCUGAUACCAACUAGUUUUAAUACGUCAUAAAAGUACAGUGACUUAAAGAACAAAUUUUGUGUUAGUAGUUAUUAUUUUAAGUUAUUUUACCAUUUUAAUUACAAAGUUGUGUCAUUAAACAUAUAGCCGCAUGACAUUGAAUUAAAUACCCCAAGUUAAUCAAAUGCAUCUACCUUCUUUACCUAAGAAAUUCACUCGGGAAUAUGAUUUAUUAAGGUAAUCAACUUUUCGGUAUGUUUACAUCUGGAUAACUAUCUUUUUUUGUACACAUGUAGGUAACAAACUUGUUGGAAGUGUUCACAUAUGACCAUUAUGACCUGCUAUAGCAGGUUAAAUCUUAGAUGUGAACUAGGGAUGAGCAUAAGCGAGUACCCGCCCUAAUUAUCUGGAACUAGAGCCGGAACCGGUGGUUCUUGAGAUAUAGGAACCAGAACCGGAACCGGUUCCGGUACCGGGUACCCGGUUGUUUUAAGCAUUUUUAGUAUUUUUUUUAUUUGAAAAUUUGCUUGCCUAUUAUAAAGCUAUAAACAUAAAUAACUAGGUGAAUGCUCGCG